rnacentral:lncRNA from 1 species
AAAAAAAAACACGAGAGGUGGGAAUAGAUUACUUGUGCUGAUGCCUUGUAUUUUUUUACUCCAUAUAUGCACUACUUGAAGGUAGUUUUGUUGAUCUAGGUGGAUUAUGUCUUAUUCUACAAAAGAAAAUAUAUAGCUUUCUGAAAUGUGAUGACUUGCAAUACUGCCUAUAAAUAAAUUAAGAUGGAGUUUUAGAAGCUUCACAUUUUAUAAAUACUUCAGUAAGUUUGCUUCUCGUCAUAUUUGCAGGACAACAAAGAAGCCACAUGUUCAAGUCUCUUCAAGUCUUACUUGAGUGAUCGUGAUGCAAGUUUAAGCCUCUUCAAGUCUUACUAGAGUGGUUCUGAUGCAAGUUCAAGCUUCUUCAAGUCUUACUAGAGUGGUCCUUAUGUAAAAGUUCAAGCCUCUUGAAUGCAAAUAUUUAUUUUUUAUGGUUCUAAUGCAUUUGUGAUGGCACACUGUAGUCUUUCGUGUUCCUUCUUAACACAAGCUAUUGGAAGAAAAUGGUUGAAACUGAUGUUGUUCAGAUCCUUUUGAUCUUGAUCAUUGAAAAUGCACAAUGUGUUGAAUGUACAGACUAAGAUGUGCAUGCUGAUUAUUUGUAAUUUAAACCAUAUGGACGGGUGAAUCCACAUUGAAGAU